rnacentral:rRNA from 1 species
AGUCUGACGGAGCACGCCGCGUGAACGAUGAAGGCCUUCGGGUCGUAAAGUUCUGUUGUCAGGGAAGAACAAGUACCGGAGUAACUGCCGGUACCUUGACGGUACCUGACCAGAAAGCCACGGCUAACUACGUGCCAGCAGCCGCGGUAAUACGUAGGUGGCAAGCGUUGUCCGGAAUUAUUGGGCGUAAAGCGCGCGCAGGCGGUUCCUUAAGUCUGAUGUGAAAGCCCCCGGCUCAACCGGGGAGGGUCAUUGGAAACUGGGGAACUUGAGUGCAGAAGAGGAGAGCGGAAUUCCACGUGUAGCGGUGAAAUGCGUAGAGAUGUGGAGGAACACCAGUGGCGAAGGCGGCUCUCUGGUCUGUAACUGACGCUGAGGCGCGAAAGCGUGGGGAGCGAACAGGAUUAGAUACCCUGGUAGUCCACGCCGUAAACGAUGAGUGCUAAGUGUUAGAGGGUUUCCGCCCUUUAGUGCUGCAGCAAACGCAUAAGCACUCCGCCUGG